CUAAGGAUGGUUCUUCAGAAGCUUGCUUCUAUCGAACCGUUUUAGAAACAUCAGUGGCCAACGGUCGUCAGGAUCGUUGAGCUGCAUUGGCGGGAUUUCGCCGUCUUCGUUUCUCUUUCUUCGCGGACGAACACGCGCUGGGGCUGCAACCUUGCAGAAUCCCUGGUCCUUGACUGGAUAUGCGUUAGGGGCUUGUAGCUCAGUUGGUUAGAGCGCGCGCUUGAUAAGCGUGAGGUCGGAAGUUCAAGUCUUCCCAGGCCCACCACACUCAUCGAGUGAGCAUUCGUCUUCUGGUUACGGGGCCAUAGCUCAGCUGGGAGAGCGCGUGCUUUGCAAGCAUGAGGUCGUCGGUUCGAUCCCGUCUGGCUCCACCAGAUGGUUUGAUCACCGGCUACUCAUACCGUCGUCCGCGAAACAUCACUUCGCACUUACUAGUCCGGAUGGACAGUGAGCUGCGUGAUUUCUGACAUCGUAAAGAGGAGAUCGAUCCGAGUUGGAUCGGGCAACAAGUAAUUGUUGCGCGAUACUUCAUUAUCUCCGGAUCAUUUCGGCGCUCGUGCGUCUUUUAGCGUAGCUCACAAGGCUGCAUUGAAAGACAAACAAGUUGUAAAUGAUCCUUUUAGCGAAGCUUGACCGCCUCGCUAUCGGAACGAUCUUACGAAGCAAGCUGGUCUUUCUAAUCAUUGUCCGGCUGCAGAUAGCGUUCAUCGAGGGCGCGUGCCGCAAGGCAGUUCUGCAGACAACAUUCUGCCGAGUGUGUGGACAUUGAUAAUGAGAGC
rnacentral:tRNA from 2 species